GUCGUCGUGGCCGAGUGGUUAAGGCGACAGACUCGAAAUCUGUU
rnacentral:tRNA from 1 species